AGUGAACGCUGGCGGUAGGCCUAACACAUGCAAGUCGAACGGCAGCACAGUAAGAGCUUGCUCUUACGGGUGGCGAGUGGCGGACGGGUGAGGAAUACAUCGGAAUCUACUUUUUCGUGGGGGAUAACGUAGGGAAGCUUACGCUAAUACCGCAUACGACCUACGGGUGAAAGCAGGGGAUCUUCGGACCUUGCGCGAUUGAAUGAGCCGAUGUCGGAUUAGCUAGUUGGCGGGGUAAAGGCCCACCAAGGCGACGAUCCGUAGCUGGUCUGAGAGGAUGAUCGGCCACACUGGAACUGAGACACGGUCCAGACUCCUAAGGGAGGCAGCAGUGGGGAAUAUUGGGCAAUGGGGGCAAGCCUGAUCCAGCCAUACCGCGUGGGUGAAGAAGGCCUUCGGGUUGUAAAGCCCUUUUGUUGGGAAAGAAAAGCAGCAGGUUAAUACCCCGCUGUUCUGACGGUACCCAAAGAAUAAGCACCGGCUAACUUCGUG
rnacentral:rRNA from 1 species